rnacentral:rRNA from 1 species
AUGCACGCUUGCGGCGUGCCUCAUCCCUUCAAUUCGCGCGCACAGACUAGUAUCUUGCUCCUCUUACGUUAGCGGCGGCCUGGUGAGUAACACUUUGUUAACCUACCUAUAAUUCUUUGAUUACUUCGGGAAACCGUCUCUAAUCCCGGAUAAUUUAUUUAACCUCUUUGUUCCAUUGUUAUAUUCGGUUUUUCUUUCACUUAUAGUUGGUUCCGCGCCGCAUUAGCUAGUUGUUAAGGUAACGGCUUACCAAGGCAAAGAUGCGUAGGCGACCUGAGAGGGUGAGCGGCCAAACUGGAACGGAGACACGGACCAGAGUCCUACGGGAGGAAGCAGUAGGGAAUAUUCGGCAAUGGGGGAAAGGAUGACGGAGCAAAGCCGAGUGAGAGAUGAAGGAGUUCGGAUCGUAAAACUCUGUUAUUAGGGAAGAAAAAAAGUGUAAGUAAAUAAGAACGUAUUGACGGUAACGAAUAAGAAAGCAACGGCUAACUACGUG